rnacentral:rRNA from 1 species
ACAUGCAAGUCGAGCGAGCUUGCCUAGAUGAUUUUAGUGCUUGCACUAAAUGAAACUAGAUACAAGCGAGCGGCGGACGGGUGAGUAACACGUGGGUAACCUGCCCAAGAGACUGGGAUAACACCUGGAAACAGAUGCUAAUACCGGAUAACAACACUAGACGCAUGUCUAGAGUUUGAAAGAUGGUUCUGCUAUCACUCUUGGAUGGACCUGCGGUGCAUUAGCUAGUUGGUAAGGUAACGGCUUACCAAGGCAAUGAUGCAUAGCCGAGUUGAGAGACUGAUCGGCCACAUUGGGACUGAGACACGGCCCAAACUCCUACGGGAGGCAGCAGUAGGGAAUCUUCCACAAUGGACGAAAGUCUGAUGGAGCAACGCCGCGUGAGUGAAGAAGGGUUUCGGCUCGUAAAGCCCUGUUGGUAGUGAAGAAAGAUAGAGGUAGUAACUGGCCUUUAUUUGACGGUAAUUACUUAGAAAGUCACGGCUAACUACGUG